rnacentral:rRNA from 1 species
AGUUUGAUCCUGGCUCAGGAUGAACGCUAGCUACAGGCUUAACACAUGCAAGUCGAGGGGCAGCAUGAANUUAGCUUGCUAAGUUUGAUGGCGACCGGCGCACGGGUGAGUAACACGUAUCCAACCUGCCGAUGACUCGGGGAUAGCCUUUCGAAAGAAAGAUUAAUACCCGAUGGCAUAGUUCUUCCGCAUGGUAGAACUAUUAAAGAAUUUCGGUCAUCGAUGGGGAUGCGUUCCAUUAGGUUGUUGGCGGGGUAACGGCCCACCAAGCCUUCGAUGGAUAGGGGUUCUGAGAGGAAGGUCCCCCACAUUGGAACUGAGACACGGUCCAAACUCCUACGGGAGGCAGCAGUGAGGAAUAUUGGUCAAUGGACGAGAGUCUGAACCAGCCAAGUAGCGUGAAGGAUGACUGCCCUAUGGGUUGUAAACUUCUUUUAUACGGGAAUAAAGUGAGGCACGUGUGCCUUUUUGUAUGUACCGUAUGAAUAAGGAUCGGCUAACUCCGUGCCAGCAGCCGCGGUAAUACGGAGGAUCCGAGCGUUAUCCGGAUUUAUUGGGUUUAAAGGGAGCGUAGGCGGACGCUUAAGUCAGUUGUGAAAGUUUGCGGCUCAACCGUAAAAUUGCAGUUGAUACUGGGUGUCUUGAGUACAGUAGAGGCAGGCGGAAUUCGUGGUGUAGCGGUGAAAUGCUUAGAUAUCACGAAGAACUCCGAUUGCGAAGGCAGCCUGCUGGACUGUAACUGACGCUGAUGCUCGAAAGUGUGGGUAUCAAACAGGAUUAGAUACCCUGGUAGUCCACACAGUAAACGAUGAAUACUCGCUGUUUGCGAUAUACAGUAAGCGGCCAAGCGAAAGCGUUAAGUAUUCCACCUGGGGAGUACGCCGGCAACGGUGAAACUCAAAGGAAUUGACGGGGGCCCGCACAAGCGGAGGAACAUGUGGUUUAAUUCGAUGAUACGCGAGGAACCUUACCCGGGCUUGAAUUGCAACUGAAUGAUGUGGAGACAUGUCAGCCGCAAGGCAGUUGUGAAGGUGCUGCAUGGUUGUCGUCAGCUCGUGCCGUGAGGUGUCGGCUUAAGUGCCAUAACGAGCGCAACCCUUAUCGAUAGUUACCAUCAGGUUAUGCUGGGGACUCUGUCGAGACUGCCGUCGUAAGAUGUGAGGAAGGUGGA